rnacentral:rRNA from 1 species
AAGAAAGUAAGAAAGGGCGUAUGGCGGAUGCCUAGGCUCACGGAGGCGAUGAAGGACGUGAUAAGCUGCGAUAAGCUUCGGGUAGGUGCAAAUAACCUUUGAUCCGGAGAUUUCCGAAUGGGACAACCUAGCCGUCUGAAGGACGGUUACUCUUACCAAUGUAAGAGAGCUAACGCAGGGAACUGAAACAUCUUAGUACCUGCAGGAAGAGAAAAUAAAUGAAUGAUUCCCCCAGUAGUGGCGAGCGAACGGGGAACAGCCCAAACC